UCUUUUUUCUUCGUCUUCAAUGAGAGAAAGUUUUGUAUUAAAAUCAUCUGUUUUUUUUUCUUCUAUAGAUCAACAAGUAAAAUGUUUUGUAUUAAACGGAAACGUCUGCGGUGCUGUGCUGCGCAGCGCUGCGUGAACAGCUGUUUUACUGCUGUUGCUUUCUUCUAGCAGUGGAAGUGUAGAAUAAAGUACGUGCUAGUUGUUAGUAUUGAAACAACAAUAAUAAAGUUUAUAGAUUAUAUACACCGCUGUUAAUAAGCGCUGCCUAUUAACAGCGACAGCGUUUAGGCAGCAACGCUACGUUAUUUUAUAGAAUCACAAUACUAAAUACAACAACAACAACAAAACACAAACUGAACAAAAAUACAAAAUUGUAGAUCACGUAUAUUGAAAUACAUCAGUUUAGAUUUAACACUGCUUGACAGCACAACACGUUCGUCGUAGAUUCAGUGUUUUCUUUUUAUUUUAUUUUUUAUUCUAUCAAACAGUGUCAAAAAAAAAAUAUUAAAAAGAAAAUUUUGGGAAAUUGCAUUAAAACAAAAAAAAAAAAAUACAUACAUACAUAUAUUUCAAAUUAAUUUUACGUACGUAUAUUUUUGCAAUGACAGAAGCAUCUUGAAACAAAAAUAUUAUUAAUAAUACGAUUAAGUGCGUUUGAAAAAAUUAAAUUUCCAAAAAGUGUAUUUUUUUUUAAAUUAAGCCGGUUUUUAAAAAAAAAAUAAUUCUGUGUGAAAAGUUUUUUUUCGGCUGAUCAUCAUUAAAUUAAAAGUGGUAAAAAACGAGAAACUUGUCUGAAAUACAAAAAUAAAAUAUAAUAAAGACAAAAAAAGAACACAACCAACAUCGAGUAAAUAAUACAAAUAAAAACCCAAAACAAAUACAAUUGUUUCUGUUGAGUGAGAACAGGCAAAAAAAAAGAAAUAAAUACUACUGAAAUAAAUCUGUACAAAAACCUACCAAACCACUACAGUGUAGAAAAUUUUAUUAGAGGCAGAUCAAUUUAUCAAAAUAAAAUUUUGAUAGAUUGUUUUUAUUUGGAAUUAUAAACUUCUGUUAACUAGACCUAAAUUCAGCCAAAAACAAUAAACAGACAAACGGCAAAAGAAACAUCACAAUACAAAAGCAAUUUUAGCAAAAAGAGCGCACCAACCAACAAUAAACAAGAAAAAGAAGUGGUUAAGGAAGACUGACUGGCUGGCUGGCUGGCUGAAUGACUGACUUGCCACUAAAUACAGUUUAUUGGCCUUGACAACUCAACUAAAGAAGAUCUACCACUUUGGUCUGUUGUAUAUAUUUCUAAGCCAUCAAAAAACGUUCAACAACACCAACAAUAGAAAACUAAAACAUUUGAAAUCUUAUAUGGAAAUUCAAUAUUCAUAUUGAGACGGAGUCGACAAAACGAGUCCAUAUUUUUUUUUUUGAAAAAGAAGAAGAACAAGAACAGCAAUCUCGUUGUUAUCGUUACAAAUACAGUGUAAUGAAACAUAAAACGACGCGUUUAAAGAUCAAUAAAAUUAAACGACGUUAUCGUAUAAGUUUAAUUGAAUUUAAUGAAAAUAAAUUUAUUCAAAAUAAAAACAAUAACAACAACAGUCCAGAAAAGUGAAAAAAAAAUACUUAAAUAUUGUGUCGAAAUUUUUAUUUUCUCUAAUUAAACGUUAAACGAGCAAAUAAUCAACAACAAUUUAAACGAUUUUUUUUCCGUGAAUGUAAUUUUUUGAGGUUUGUCCUAAAAAAAAAACA